UACGAAGGGGGCUAGCGUUGUUCGGAAUCACUGGGCGUAAAGGGCGCGUAGGUGGCGCGGGCAGUCAACGGUGAAAGUUCGGGGCUCAACCCUGAAUCGGCCGUCGAUACUCCCGUGCUUGAGCACUGUAGAGGCAGAUGGAAUUCCGGGUGUAGCGGUGGAAUGCGUAGAGAUCCGGAAGAACACCGGUGGCGAAGGCGGUCUGCUGGGCAGUAGCUGACACUGAGGCGCGACAGCGUGGGGAGCAAACAGG
rnacentral:rRNA from 1 species